UACAGAGGUCUCGAGCGUUGUUCGGAUUCAUUGGGCGUAAAGGGUGCGUAGGUGGCGUCGUAAGUCAGGUGUGAAAUCUCGGGGCUCAACCCCGAAACUGCACUUGAUACUGCGAUGCUUGAGUACUGGAGAGGAGAUUGGAAUUUACGGUGUAGCAGUGAAAUGCGUAGAUAUCGUAAGGAAGACCAGUGGCGAAGGCGAAUCUCUGGACAGUUACUGACACUGAGGCACGAAGGCCAGGGGAGCAAACAGG
rnacentral:rRNA from 1 species